AAACGGGCUGGGGACCCCCAAAAACGGGUUCGGAAGCCCUGAAAAUGGGUCGGGGAGCCCCGAAAAUGGGUCUGGGAGCCCCAGAAAUGGGUUUGGGACCCCCGAAAAUGGGUCUGAGACUCCCAGAAACAACUUGGGGACCCCCGAAAAUAGGUCAAGGACCCCCAAAAAUGGGUCUGGAACCCCCCAAAAUAGGUCAGGGACCCCCAGAAAAUGGGUCUGGGACCCCCAAAAACGGGUCUGGGACCCCCAGAAACAGUUCAAGGACCCCCGAAAAUGGGUCUGGAAUCCCCCAAAAUAGGUCAGGGACCCCCAGAAAAUGGGUCUGGAACCCCCAAAAAUAGGUCAGGGGACCCC